rnacentral:rRNA from 1 species
GAUGAACGCUGGCGGCGUGCCUAAUCCAUGCAAGUCGAGCGAAGCGGGGACGGGUGCGUAACACGUGGCUAACCUACUCUAAGACUGGAACAACUUAGGGAAACAGGAGCUAAACCGGCUACUUAUAGAUGGAUCCGCGCUGCAUUAGCUAGUUGGUAAGGUAACGGCUUACAAAGGCAACGAUGCCUAGCCGACCUGAGAGGGUGAUCGGCGACACUGGAACUGAGACACGGUCCAGACUCCUACGGUAGGCAGCAGUAGGGAAUCUUCCGCAAUUGGCGAAAGCCGGACUGAGCAACGCCGCGUGUGUGAUGAAGGGCUUCGGAUAGUAAAACUCUGUUAUUAGGGAAGCGUUACCUAAUCAGAAAGCCACGGCUAACUACGUGCCAGCAGCCGCGGUAAUUC